GGGCUCGCUCUGGCAGUACACAUAGAAAAGUGGAACACUACAGAGAGGAUUAGCGUGGCCCCUGCACAAGGAUGACGCAAAGCGUUCCGUACUUGGUACACUUCUU
ensembl:snRNA U6 U6 spliceosomal RNA